rnacentral:rRNA from 1 species
GAUGAACGCUAGCGGCAGGCUUAAUACAUGCAAGUCGAGGGGUAGCAAGAUUGUAGCAAUACAAUUGUUGACGACCGGCAAACGGGUGCGGAACACGUGCACAACCUUCCUACAAGUGGGGAAUAGCCCAGAGAAAUUUGGAUUAAUACCCCGUAACAUAGCGAUGUGGCAUCACAUUGCUAUUAUAGCUUCGGCGCUUGUUGAUGGGUGUGCGGCUGAUUAGAUAGUUGGCGGGGUAACGGCCCACCAAGUCUACGAUCAGUAGCUGAUGUGAGAGCAUGGUCAGCCAAACGGGCACGGAGACACGGGCCCGACUCCUACGGGAGGCAGCAGUAAUGAAUAUUGGACAAUGGACGCAAGUCUGAUCCAGCCAUGCCGCGUGAAGGAUUAAGGUCCUCUGGAUUGUAAACUUCUUUUAUAAGGGACGAAAAAAGGUCUUUCUAGAUCGUCUGACGGUACCUUAUGAAUAAGCACCGGCUAACUCCGUGCCAGCCGCCGCCGUAACAC